rnacentral:rRNA from 1 species
UACGUAGGGCGCAAGCGUUGUCCGGAAUUAUUGGGCGUAAAGAGCUCGUAGGCGGCUUUGUCACGUCGGGUGUGAAAGCCCGGGGCUUAAACCCCGGGGUCUGCAUUCGAUACGGGCAGGCGUAGAGUGUGGUAGGGGAGAUCGGAAUUCCUGGUGUAGCGGUGAAAUGCGCAGAUAUCAGGAGGAACACCGGUGGCGAAGGCGGGUCUCUGGGCAGUAACUGACGCUGAGGAGCGAAAGCGUGGGGAGCGAACAGG